GUGUCAGUUUUGAUUUUAUUUUAAAAAGUUCCCCUCCCCCCAAUAUUUGUCUGAUAUUUGCCUUCAUUAAUAAGACAUGUAGCUUAUUCACAAAAUAGACUGGAUGUGCUUUUCUUCUCAAUAAAUCAUUUAAACAUAGCUAUUUUUUUAAAGCUCUAAAAGGCUUUAUCAGGAGAAUUUCAAAGGGUUGUAUACAAGUUGCCUUCAGCAGAAAUAGUAGAUGCAAUUCUGUUCCUCAAACGUGCUUGCAAGUCUUCCUGAACUUCUGUUGAGGCAUAACCCAAUUAUGUACCAUGAAUGUUAGGAUCUGUUUUUGGCCUUGAGACCUGAAUUUCAAGAAUGCAUCUAAUCAUGAUUUUCUUUUCUUUCUGAGUUGGAGGCUUCAGUUGGAAUCGUCUAGUUAAGUGUGCUGCUAGAUGUGGUCUUGGCUUAUUGACACAGCCUUGCACACAGCUGAGGUUUAUUUUGCUUACCCCAGGGAUUGUGUGAAGUACAUUUCAAACAGUUACUGCUUCAGUGGCUGAUUCUUCUUGUAACUGUAUUAAGGGCAUUAGUAUGUUGAGAAAACACCACUCUUGAAUAUAUCCCAAUAUAAAUUGGGAUUCUUCAAUGUCAUUAAUGAAAGAUGGCACUUUUAGGUUAUAUCUUCUUUGCAGCAUACAAAAAUGUCUCUAUCCUUCUACAAUUUACAUUUCACAAUAUGCCAUGUUUUUUCCCCCAAUGCUUCUAGCAUGAUAAGAAGGUGUGUGUGCGCACUGAAUUAUAAUCCUCAGCCUCUUAGACAUUCAUGAACUUCCACAAGAGCAAAUACUGACUAUGCAUUUAUUGUCUUUCUAAUGAGCUGUGGAGCUAAAAGUGGAGCCAGAGCUAUUUUAAGCCACACUUUCUUUUUUUCCCAUUAAAAAAAAAAAACCAAACCACCUCCAGGCUUUUUAGAUAACAUCAGUCACUGUUCAGACUUCUUGAGUUAAGAAUAUUUUGCAGUUGGGUGUCUCUGUAAAUCAAAUUUGGGUGAGUUAACUAGCUACUCUAAGGAAAGCUUCUGGAUUGGAUUUGUUAUUGGCAAAAGCAUGCUCUGCCCUAUCAAAAUCUUCCGAUUAAGAAGCAGAACCCAGUAGUAGCACUUAAUUUUUAUUAAUCUUAUAAUGAUGCAUAUUCAUACAUUCUGAUUGGAAUCAUCUAUCCUCCCAGAACAUCAUGUCCAAGUAAAACUUGUUGCUCAGUAUUUGUGGUUGGGUGAACUCUUAAGGCUGAUGGCACAUGCGUUCAUAGGCGGUUGACAGGCAGAAAGAAAAAAGCAUUUGAAAACAAAACAUGGCAUCCUGUUCUGCCUAUGCUUGGGGUCAUGAUUGUAAUGCUGUCCUUGAUAUUCUAUAAUCAACUUCCAACUGGAGCUCAGAAAAACUUACUGAAAGUCUUGUCUCUGUUAGAAAAUAAACUUACCUUGUUAAAAGCAUGAUCUGUUAAAGAGUUGCAAUGUUUAAUGUUGGUUAAUAGUUGUGCAGUUUUUAUUCUUUUUUUUAAAGAGGCACAAUUAAACUCUUGACUUUGUUUACUCUGUCACCCUCGAUCCCUAGCACUUCUAUUCAGCACUUCAGAUUCAUCAAUGUAUGCAACAUCCUUUGUAAUUUAAAAUAAAAAUUGUGGAGGAAAUACCAUCUCGAAUCAUUGUACGUGUGAAGUGACACUGAGUGGCGUGUGCUCCCUUCGAGUAAAUGCCCUCGGUCUCCUGGUAUUGUCAGCAGCUUUCCUUUGAGGGGAGCGUAGCAAGGGAAGGAAAUAAUGUGUUUCCCCCUGGUCAGUGCUUGAGCCAAGAGCUGCUUCGCAGGGCUGCUGGGCCAGCAUGGUGGGACCAUCAGGAGAGCCUGGGCUGCAGCCCAGCAUGUCCUUUGAGUGCCUUUUCAUGGACGUGGUCUCCAUCUUCAACACCACAGCUCGUGUUCUCCAAACCUGGCGUGUCACAGAGCAGGGUGUGAGGGCGGGAGGGGAGGCACAGCACCAGGGGAGGAGGCAAGGGAAAGGCAAAAGGGCCGUUGCGUUGCGUUGUGUGCCCUCUCCUCCCCUCCGCGGCACAAGCGGAGUUGUUCCUCCUGUUGUUCCGCAGCACGGGCACCGGCCAUCCCCUGCUGCUGAGGGUCCCCUGUCCCCGGCCCAUCCACCCGCAGUCCCGCGGCGGUCUGUUGGGUGCUGUUAUCGCUUCUCCCCGUGCCACGGCUGGUGCCGCUUUGUGCCCUUCCUUUGGCUCAUAAGGGCGAAGGAAAGCACCUUAGUCCCCAUCUGCUAACGAACCGCCUUUCCACAGCGCCUGAAUUUACUCUUUCGCUACCCGAUAACCGUACAUCAGCACCACCGGUACCACUACGGUACCGCCGCCCCGCGGGGGUCCCUCAGCCGAGCCCCCGCCGCGGCUCUCC
rnacentral:lncRNA from 1 species